rnacentral:rRNA from 1 species
ACAAGCGGUGGAGUAUGUUGUUUAUUCGUAAGAUACACGAAGAACCUUACCAGGUCUUGACAUACCAUUGACAGGUGUAGAGAUACACUCUCCUUCGGGCAAUGGAUACAGGUGGUGCAUGGUUGUCGUCAGCUCGUGCCGUGAGGUGUUGGGUUAAGUCCCGCAACGAGCGCAACCCUCAUUCGUUAGUUACUACCAUUCAGUUGAGGACUCUAAUGAGACUGCCAACGACAAGUUGGAGGAAGGUGGGGAUGACGUCAAAUCAUCAUGCCCUUUAUGACCUGGGCUACAAACGUACUACAAUGGCCAAUACAAAGAGAUGCGAAGCGGUGACGUGAAGCGAACCUCAGAAAGUUGGUCUCAGUUCAGAUUGAAGUCUGCAACUCGACUUCAUGAAGGCGGAAUCGCUAGUAAUCGCGGGUCAGCAGACCGCGGUGAAUACGUUCCCGGGUUUU